AUGGCUUGGGGAUUGGCAGCUCAUUCUCCAUCUCCCCCUGAGCUGGUCCUGCUGGCCCCCUCCCAGGACCUCUCCUCUGGGGACAGGGCUACUGUGGUGUGCCUGGCUCAGGGCUUCUACCCUGACGGUGCCAUCCUGACCUGGUCAGAGGAUGGCAAAGAUGUGGCUGGCACUGAGUUUCAGACGGGCGAGUCUCAGCGCCAGUCUGAUGGCACGUUCUCCCUCAGCAGCGCCCUGACGGUCCAGCCACAACGCUGGCGCUCUGGACACACCUACACCUGUCAGCUGAGCCACUCCGCCCUCUCCAGGCCUCUGAGCAAGAGUGUGGCACAGGGACAGUGCAGCUAGAGUUGGAGAGAGCAGGAUUCAGCCAAGCUACACACGGGACACAGGAAUGCGCUUCUGUGGGUUUGGUGAAUAUUUACCUGCUUAAAAGCAUCCGUGACUACAUUACGCUGUUUUGUUGGUUUACCCUGCAAUGCCUUA